rnacentral:rRNA from 1 species
UCGCGCAAACUUUGCAAUACACGAAAGUGUGACAGGGCUAUCCCGAGUGCCGCCCGCUGAGGGUGGCUUUUGCUCAGUUUAGCAAGCUGGGAGAAUAAGGAGAGGGCAAGUCUGGUGUCAGCCGCCGCGGUAAUACCAGCUCUCCGAGUGGUGUGGAUGUUUAUUGGGCCUAAAGCAUCCGUAGCUUGCUGAGUUAGUCCCCUGUUAAAUCCAGCAAAUUAAUUGUUGGUGUGCGGGGGAUACUGCUCGGCUAGGGGACGAGAGAGGCAGACGGUAUUUCCGGGGUAGGGGUGAAAUCCUAUAAUCCCGGGAAGACCACCAGUGGCGAAGGCUGUCUGCUAGAACGCGCCCGACGGUGAGGGAUGAAAGCUGGGGGAGCGAACCGGAUUAGAUACCCGGGUAGUCCCAGCUGUAAACUAUGCAGGCUAGGUGUUUGAGCGGCCACGUGCCGCUCUAGUGCCGCAGGGAA